CAAUAGCGUAUAUUAAAGUUGUUGCGGUUAAAAAGCUCGUAGUUGGAUUUCUGGCACAGCGUCCCUGACCCGCUUCCGCAAGGGAGUGAGCGCACGGGGUUACGCUUGUCAUCCGUCCAGAGAGUAGCACUGCUCUUAACUGAGUUGGUGUUGCGAUCUGGGCCUUUUACUUUGAAAAAUUAGAGUGUUUAAAGCAGGCUUGCGCCGUGAAUACAUUAGCAUGGAAUAAUAAUCUAGGACUUUGUUCCUAUUUUGUUGGUUCUCUGGAACGAAGUAAUGAUUGAUAGGGAUAGUUGGGGGUGCUAGAACUCAGCGGCCAGAGGUGAAAUUCUUGGAUUCGCUGAAGUCUAACUAAUGCGAAAGCAUUCACCAAGGAUGUCUUCUUUAAUCAAGAACGAAAGUUGGGGGAUCGAAGACGAUUAGAUACCGU
rnacentral:rRNA from 1 species